rnacentral:rRNA from 1 species
CCCUUAGAUGUUCUGGGCCGCACGCGUGCUACACUGACCGGCGCAACAAGUUUCUUUCCUUGGCUCGAUAGGCCUGGGUAAUCUUUGAACGCCGGUCGUGAUGGGGAUAGAUCCUUGCAAUUUUUGAUCUUCAACGAGGAAUUCCUAGUAAAUGCGAGUCAUCAUCUCGCGUUGAUUACGUCCCUGCCCUUUGUACACACCGCCCGUCGCACCUACCGAUUGAAUGGUCCGGUGAGGCCUCGGGAUUGCGAAUGCUUCGUGCGGACGCGAGAACUUGGCUAAACCUUACCAUUUAGAGGAAGGUGAAGUCGUAACA